UGCAGGAGAAGCCUCUGGAGAACUAUGCUGAGCCACAGCCUGGGGAACCACAACCUUCUCUUAAAACUUUCAAGUGAUUGGAUGAGGCCCACCCACAUUAUGGAGAGCAAUCUGCUUUUAAAGACAACUAAAUGCUGAGUGAAGGCAGCGUUUGACCAAACAACGGGUUAGCAUAAUCCAGCCAAACUUGACAAAUAGAAUUGACCAUUAUGGCUAGGAAGAAGUAAUAACUCUAAAGAAUUGAAGAAUAACAGUUAUAAGGAGUAGCCAACUCCUUGAGCUUGGAUAAACCACCUUAAGAAGAGACCUCCGGACCCCCAGAGCUGAAUUUCAGACCUUGAAAAUGAAUGGCUGUUCCUCACUGGAUGACACAGAAGUAGCUGUGUUGCUGCACAGUGGAACUUACUUGGAAUUUAUUUUCUAAGUUGCCAUAGAAAGUAAUGUCACCUUAGAGUCACUCUGUGAAACUUCCGAAGUGGGGAUCUAGGGAGCCUACUGGUCACUGGAUGCAUCUGACUGCUGUGUACUACAGAAGCUGAACAUUGAAAAGGCUGCCUUUGCUGCAGGGGCUGGCGGUAAGAAACUGUCCACACUGUAGGAGUGGAGCCUGAUAAAGCCUAAUGUGCUGUAGGAGCUUGCCAAAAAGACAGCAGAACCAUGAGAGUGUCUCUGUUUCCUGUAUUUAUCUCUAUUAUCCUGUACUGACAAAGCUUCAUACCUUGCCAGCUGACAAAGGAAAAUCAUUCAAAAACUUUAGAUCCCUUUUUGCCAUGAUAAGUGGAUUUAGAGCCGAGAUGCAAUAAAUUAAAAACUAACACAAGUAUUGUGUGUUGACUUAUGGAAGCUACUCCAUGCAGCAAGAUCUACAACUACAGAAGCAAAUUUAAUCAGGGGCCGCAAUGGAAUUGGGUAAGCAAAUGUGUGCCUUGUAGUUCUGUCCUGUGUCCAUAGGCUGUACGGUAGAGCUGUCUAUGGGAAAAUAGCAGAGAACAUCACCAGUGAGAGUGUCAUUGUAUUGGAAAAUAUUGCUACAGGCAGAUGCAAAGAACCAAGAUUAUUAAGCCAGAAGAACUGAUUGUAUUUCAGAAGUAAAGAUUCUAUCAGAGUUAGAAAAUGCAUGGUAAGGAUU